rnacentral:rRNA from 1 species
UACGGGGGGGGCAAGCGUUGUUCGGAAUUACUGGGCGUAAAGGGCGCGUAGGCGGCCUGCUAAGUCGGAUGUGAAAUCCCUCGGCUCAACCGAGGAACUGCAUCCGAUACUGGCGGGCUUGAAUCCGGGAGGGGGAUGUGGAAUUCCAGGUGUAGCGGUGAAAUGCGUAGAUAUCUGGAGGAACACCGGUGGCGAAGGCGGCAUCCUGGACCGGUAUUGACGCUGAGGCGCGAAAGCUAGGGGAGCAAACGGG